rnacentral:rRNA from 1 species
UACGUAGGGUGCGAGCGUUGUCCGGAAUUAUUGGGCGUAAAGGGCUCGUAGGCGGUUUGUCGCGUCGGGAGUGAAAACUCAGGGCUUAACCCUGAGCCUGCUUCCGAUACGGGCAGACUAGAGGUAUGCAGGGGAGAACGGAAUUCCUGGUGUAGCGGUGAAAUGCGCAGAUAUCAGGAGGAACACCCGUGGCGAAGGCGGCCUUCUGGGUCCGCCCUGACGCUGAGGCGCGAAAGCGUGGGGAGCGAACGGG